GCAGUAGCCGCGGUAAUACGAAGGGGGCUAGCGUUGUUCGGAAUUACUGGGCGUAAAGCGCACGUAGGCGGACAUUUAAGUCAGGGGUGAAAUCCCGGGGCUCAACCCCGGAACUGCCUUUGAUACUGGGUGUCUAGAGUAUGGAAGAGGUGAGUGGAAUUCCGAGUGUAGAGGUGAAAUUCGUAGAUAUUCGGAGGAACACCAGUGGCGAAGGCGGCUCACUGGUCCAUUACUGACGCUGAGGUGCGAAAGCGUGGGGAGCAAACAGGAUUAGAUACCCCCGUAGUCCCUGUCUCUUAUAU
rnacentral:rRNA from 1 species